rnacentral:rRNA from 1 species
UACGUAGGGGGCUAGCGUUGUCCGGAUUUAUUGGGCGUAAAGAGCGUGUAGGCGGCCAGGUAGGUCUGCUGUGAAAACUCGAGGCUCAACCUCGAGCUGUCGGCGGAAACCAUCUGGCUAGAGUCCGGAAGAGGAGAGUGGAAUUCCUGGUGUAGCGGUGAAAUGCGCAGAUAUCAGGAAGAACACCCGUGGCGAAGGCGGCUCGCUGGAACGUAACUGACGCUGAGACGCGAAAGCGUGGGGAGCAAACAGG